rnacentral:rRNA from 1 species
GAACGCUUGCGGCGUGCUUAACACAUGCAAGUCGAACGAGAAAGGGGCUUCGGCCCUGAGUAAAGUGGCGCACGGGUGAGUAACGCGUAGGUAAUCUACCCCUGUGUUCGGGACAACAUCGGGAAACUGGUGCCAAUACCGGAUACGUUCCACGGAUUGCGAGAUAAGUGAAGGAAAGAUGGCGACCCUUCGGGGGCUAUUGCACGGGGAUGAGCCUGCGUACCAUUAGCUAGUUGGCAGGGUAAGGGCCUACCAAGGCGACGAUGGUUAGCGGGUCUGAGAGGAUGAUCCGCCACACUGGCACUGGAACACGGGCCAGACUCCUACGGGAGGCAGCAGUGAGGAAUUUUGCACAAUGGGGGAAACCCUGAUGCAGCGACGCCGCGUGAGUGACGAAGGUCUUCGGAUCGUAAAGCUCUGUCAGCAGGGAAGAAAUGUAUCAUGGCUAAUAUCCAUGGUACUUGACGGUACCUGCAAAGGAAGCACCGGCUAACUCCGUGCCAGCAGCCGCGGUAAUACGGAGGGUGCGAGCGUUGUUCGGAUUUACUGGGCGUAAAGGGCGCGUAGGCGGUUUUAUAAGCCAGAUGUGAAAGCCCACGGCUCAACCGUGGAAGUGCAUCUGGAACUGUAAGACUUGAGUACUGGAGGGGAGUGUGGAAUUCCCGGUGUAGAGGUGAAAUUCGUAGAUAUCGGGAGGAAUACCGGUGGCGAAGGCGACACUCUGGACAGAUACUGACGCUGAGGCGCGAAAGCGUGGGGAGCAAACAGGAUUAGAUACCCUGGUAGUCCACAGCUGUAAACGAUGUGCACUAGGUGUGGGGGGUCGUUGACCCUUUCCGUGCCGUAGCUAACGCAAUAAGUGCACCGCCGGGGGAGUACGGUC